CUUGGUACAAUCUUGCUUGCGUGGCGGGCUUACGCGGGGAUCCGGAGAAGGCGGCACAGGCCCUCCGGCGAUGCACGGCGAGCCUCCCGCGAACCGGGCCCGGGCCGGGGGGAGGCAGAGAAGGCGGAGGUGCCGCGGCGCGGGCUUGGCUG
rnacentral:SRP_RNA from 14 species